rnacentral:rRNA from 1 species
ACAACAGUUGGAAACGACUGCUAAUACCGCAUAAGCCCACGGCUCGGCAUCGAGCAGAGGGAAAAGGAGCAAUCCGCUUUGAGAUGGCCUCGCGUCCGAUUAGCUAGUUGGUGAGGUAACGGCCCACCAAGGCGACGAUCGGUAGCCGGACUGAGAGGUUGAACGGCCACAUUGGGACUGAGACACGGCCCAGACUCCUACGGGAGGCAGCAGUGGGGAAUAUUGCACAAUGGGGGAAACCCUGAUGCAGCGACGCCGCGUGGAGGAAGAAGGUCUUCGGAUUGUAAACUCCUGUUGUUGAGGAAGAUAAUGACGGUACUCAACAAGGAAGUGACGGCUAACUACGUGCCAGCAGCCGCGGUAAAACGUAGGUCACAAGCGUUGUCCGGAAUUACUGGGUGUAAAGGGAGCGCAGGCGGGAGAACAAGUUGGAAGUGAAAUCCAUGGGCUCAACCCAUGAACUGCUUUCAAAACUGUUUUUCUUGAGUAGUGCAGAGGUAGGCGGAAUUCCCGGUGUAGCGGUGGAAUGCGUAGAUAUCGGGAGGAACACCAGUGGCGAAGGCGGCCUACUGGGCACCAACUGACGCUGAGGCUCGAAAGUGUGGGUAGCAAACAGGAUUAGAUACCCUGGUAGUCCACACCGUAAAC